rnacentral:rRNA from 1 species
GCCCUUGACAUCCAGAGAACUUUCCAGAGAUGGAUUGGUGCCUUCGGGAACUCUGAGACAGGUGCUGCAUGGCCGUUGUCAGCUCGUGUCGUGAGAUGUUGGGUUAAGUCCCGUAACGAGCGCAACCCCUAUCCUUGGUUGCUACCAGGUAAUGCUGAGAACUCCAGGGAGACAGGCGCUGACAAACCGGAGGAAGGUGGGGACGACGUCAGGUCAUCAUGGCCCUUAUGGCCAGGGCUACACACCUGCUCCAAUGGCGAGCACAGAGGGGGGCCAACUCGCGAGAGUGAGCCAAUCCCUUAAACACGCGUCGUAGUCCGGAGCGGAGUCUGCAACUCCGUCUCCGUGAAGUCGGAAUCCUUAUAAAGGGUGUAUCAGAAUGUCGCGGUGAAUAAGGUCCCAGGGUAGGUACUCACCGAA